rnacentral:rRNA from 1 species
GAGGCAGCAGUGGGGAAUUUUGGACAAUGGGGGAAACCCUGAUCCAGCCAUCCCGCGUGUGCGAUGAAGGCCUUCGGGUUGUAAAGCACUUUUGGCAGGAAAGAAACGUCGCGGGCUAAUACCUCGCGAAACUGACGGUACCUGCAGAAUAAGCACCGGCUAACUACGUGCCAGCAGCCGCGGUAAUACGUAGGGUGCAAGCGUUAAUCGGAAUUACUGGGCGUAAAGCGUGCGCAGGCGGUUCGGAAAGAAAGAUGUGAAAUCCCAGAGCUUAACUUUGGAACUGCAUUUUUAACUACCGGGCUAGAGUGUGUCAGAGGGAGGUGGAAUUCCGGACCUUGGUAGCGCAGCUAACGCGUGAAGUUGACCGCCUGGGGAGUACGGUCGCAAGAUUAAAACUCAAAGGAAUUGACGGGGACCCGCACAAGCGGUGGAUGAUGUGGAUUAAUUCGAUGCAACGCGAAAAACCUUACCUACCCUUGACAUGUCUGGAAUGCCGAAGAGAUUUGGCAGUGCUCGCAAGAGAACCGGAACACAGGUGCUGCAUGGCUGUCGUCAGCUCGUGUCGUGAGAUGUUGGGUUAAGUCCCGCAACGAGCGCAACCCUUGUCAUUAGUUGCUACGAAAGGGCACUCUAAUGAGACUGCCGGUGACAAACCGGAGGAAGGUGGGGAUGA